AGGCGGUCUGUCAAGUCGGAUGUGAAAUCCCCGGGCUCAACCUGGGAACUGCAUUCGAAACUGGCAGGCUUGAGUCUUGUAGAGGGGGGUAGAAUUCCAGGUGUAGCGGUGAAAUGCGUAGAGAUCUGGAGGAAUACCGGUGGCGAAGGCGGCCCCCUGGACAAAGACUGACGCUCAGGUGCGAAAGCGUGGGGAGCAAACAGGAUUAGAUACCCUGGUAGUCCACGCCGUAAACGAUGUCUACUUGGAGGUUGUGCCCUUGAGGCGUGGCUUCCGGAGCUAACGCGUUAAGUAGACCGCCUGGGGAGUACGGCCGCAAGGUUAAAACUCAAAUGAAUUGACGGGGGCCCGCACAAGCGGUGGAGCAUGUGGUUUAAUUCGAUGCAACGCGAAGAACCUUACCUGGUCUUGACAUCCACAGAAUUCUGCAGAGAUGCGGAAGUGCCUUCGGGAACUGUGAGACAGGUGCUGCAUGGCUGUCGUCAGCUCGUGUUGUGAAAUGUUGGGUUAAGUCCCGCAACGAGCGCAACCCUUAUCCUUUGUUGCCAGCGAUUAGGUCGGGAACUCAAAGGAGACUGCCAGUGAUAAACUGG
rnacentral:rRNA from 1 species